rnacentral:rRNA from 1 species
CCCUUAGAUGUCCGGGGCCGCACGCGCGCUACACUGAAGGAAUCAGCGUGGCUUUCUCCCUGACCCGAAAGGGUUGGGAAACCCGUUGAAUCUCCUUCGUGAUAGGGAUUGGGGCUUGAAAUUGUUCCCCAUGAACGAGGAAUUCCCAGUAAGCGCGAGUCAUAAGCUCGCGUUGAUUACGUCCCUGCCCUUUGUACACACCGCCCGUCGCUCCUACCGAUUGAGCGAUCCGGUAAAUGUUUUGGAUUGGUGCCGGGGCGGCUAGCUGCCGGUCGCUACGAAAUUUUGUGAACCUUAUCGCUUAGAGGAAGGAAAAGUCGUAACA